AUGGCCUGUAACAGAGCUCUGGGGACUGAUAUCCUUCCACUGACUUUGGCACUGCCCAGGAGGCCGCAGCAGCAGCAACCAGAGAAGUCCCUGCAGCAACCCAACAGCCAGGUGGAUGCCUCUAUCUCCAGCUUCGUGGCAGACAGGACCUGUUAGGAUGCGGCCAUUGUGGGCAACAAGGACUCGCCCUCCAUCUGGGCCGCCAUCCAAGGGAAAACCUUCGUCAACAUCAUGCCAGAUGAGGUUGGUGUCCUGGUUGGCAAAGACUGGUCAAGCUUUUUCAUGAGUGGGCUGACACUGGGAGGCCAGAAAUGUACUGUGGUCCUGGUCUUACUGCUGCAGGAUGGGGAAUUGACUGUGGAUCUUCAUAUGAAGAGCAUCAGUGGAGCCCCCACCUUCAAUGUCAUUGUCACGAUGAUUGCCAAGACACUAGGCCUGCCGAUGGGCAAAGAAGGUGUCCACAGCAGUUUCAUCAACAAGCAGUGUUAUGAAAUGGCCUCCCACCUUCAGUGUUCUCAGUACUGACCUCCUUUUUUCCUUCCCCUCCACUGCUUUCCACAGCUUUGCCCCCCUUUCCAUCUCAUACAUACACCAUUUUAAUUUCAGGGGCCAUCACCCCACACACCUUAUUGCUGCCAAAACCACAUGGGGGCCAGGGAUAGAUGGACAGACACCUUCCCCUACCCAUACCCCUCCUGUGUGUGGUUGAAAAACUUUUUUGUUUUGAGGGAUUUUUUUUAUAAAUAAAAAAGAUUCUACUAAAAACAUUAAAUAACUGUACAUAUGUGAGCAUAUUGUUUGAUCUGUAUUCUUUGACUUUGAUAUGUUUAUGAAUAGUUACACCAUUACUACCAUUUUUAAAUUACUGUAGCUUUAAAAUCAGGUUUGAAAUCUAGCAGAGUAAGUCCUCCAACAUAUUGCUUCUUCAAGACCGACUUGCUUAUUCCAGGUUGUUUGAUUUUCAAAUACAUUUUGAAAUUAGCUUUUAAAUGCCUCUAAAAUCUCCUACUAGAAAGAUUAAUCAGAAUUGUGUUGAUGUAAUAUGCUAACAAAAUUGAGUCUUCCAAUCAAAGAACAUGAUACAUAUUUAUUUAGUUUUCUUUAAUUUUUCUCACCAAUUGCUUUCAGAGGCCUUGUACCUGCUUCAUUGCAUGUAUUAAGCAUGUAAUGAUUCUGGCUAUUAAUCUCUAUUAUGUUUUAUUGAAUUUCAUUUUCUAGUUGCUUAUGCUAGUAUGGAGAAAUUAAGAUGAUGAAAUCAACUUCAUAAAGGUAUAAUUUAGGUACAACAGACGGCACCACUUUAAAAUGUGUAAUUCAAUGCAUGUUUACAAAUGUAUACACCAAUGGAACUACUGCCACAACCAAGAUAGAGGAAUUUCCCUAUAUUUCCCUAUGCCCCAAAGUUUCUUGUACCCCUUUGCAGUUCAUCCAUCUUUCAACCCUUGGCCCCAAGGAGCCGCUGUCACUUCAGGUCUGUUUGCAUUUUUAACCAUUUUCUAUAAAUGAAAUGAUACCUGUGUUCUUUUGUGUCUCCCUUCUUUCAUGCAUCAAUGUAAUUUUAAAAUCCAUCCAUAUGAGUAUUUACAUCAGCAAGUAAUGCCUUGUAAUUGCUGAGUAGUAUUCCUUCGUGUGGCUAUACCUUGUAUGUUUGUACUUUCACUUGUUACUGGACAUUUCUAUCAUUCCACAUUUGGGCUAUUACAAAGAAACUAUCAUGAGCAUCCCUACGUGGCAGGCCAGGUCUCACCACCACAGGCCUCCCCAGCAACUGUUUCAGGACCGACUGGUUCAGUUAAACAUUAAGAGG